rnacentral:rRNA from 1 species
GACGAACCGUGCGAACGUUGUUCGGAAUCACUGGGCUUAAAGGGCGCGUAGGCGGCUCGCCAAGUCAGGGGUGAAAUCCCCGGGCUUAACCUGGGAAUGGCGUCUGAAACUACGGAGCUGGAGUGUGGCAGAGGGAGGUAGAAUUCCACGUGUAGCGGUGAAAUGCGUAGAUAUGUGGAGGAAUACCGAUGGCGAAGGCAGCCUCCUGGGCCAACACUGACGCUCAUGCACGAAAGCGUGGGGAGCAAACAGG